CACUGUCCUAAGACUAUUGGCAAGAGAAAACAAUGCAAGACAAGAUGCGCUGGACCAGAUAGCCUCCUUGAGGACUCUUCAGGAGAUGAACAGACUGCUGGACAUGGACACUUUGGAUUGUCUCUCGAGAACAAUUCGCUUUGAAAGCAGACCAAUUCCGGAGAGGAGCGGAUGCGCAAAGACAUUGCAGUGGUGUAUGCACGGCCACCCCCUACGCUUCAAAACCAUCCCUUACAUCUAUUGACGCAACACGGGACUGAACAUGAGGUGGAGGUCAAGGUGCUAGAGAUCGACUUAUCUUCAUUCACCCUGAACUGGAUUUCUUUCUCCGGUACUCUUCAGGCGAACGACAGAGUGCUGGACAUGGACAAGGUGAAUUGUCGCUCCCUGUUUUUACAUUUUUUAUUUAACUCGGCAAGUCAGUUACCCUGGCCAAACCCUAACGACGCUGGGCCAAUUGUGCACCGCCCUAAUGUCGAGAACAGUUCACCUUGAAACCAGCCCAAUUCCCGAGAGGAAUGGAAGCGCAAAGACGUAUUGCAGUCGUGUACGGUCGCCAGUCAAGAUUGUAAAUUCAUUUUGUUUGAUUACGUUAUUCAUUCCAUUCUCAUUUUUUAAAACGGGCCCUAAACAGAUCUGUGACAGUCACUUAUCUGAUAGUCAGAGUUUUGUUUCAAAACGCAAUAUCCACACACUCAUGUGUUUUAUCGCCUUUGUGUGUGUAAAAUAUUACUAUUUUAAUAUUCUCCGAUUUUUAAUUAGAUUUUAACUUUAAAACGUGUUUAGUUGCAAAGCGGUAUAUAUCCAAUGUUUAACAAAUACAUACACCAUAUAAGUGUAGCAUACCCAGCUGAAUGAAGGGUCAACUCUCAAACUGAUGGUUCACGAGUUUAAUGCGGUACCAUUUCCAUUAACACACCGUAAGAGCUGAUGGAGAAACAUACCAAAAUGCUCUUACGCUCGAACGAUACAGUCCACAAACAAUACACGUCUACGCAACUUCACAUUAGCGUGCUUCAUACAUCAAAUGCAUCAAUAUGCGUGAGAAUUUCAACACAAAUAGUUGAUUACAUGCUAAUGUGGCGCAAGUUUAACUAAUAUUAGCCCGCACAAACAAUGGUGCUAGGCCACAGUUAAUAACGUCAUAUUGCUAGCAGACGUCAGAACAUUAAUUACAAUACAAAUAUCCGUUCAGUACACGUUCAAAAUAAUUAGAAAGAUUUCUGAAACAAGACCAAUAUUUAAACACAGUAAAUGUAUUGUUCUCUUUCCAACUAGAUGCUAAGAUUGACGUGGUUUCUUAUCGCCCUUUUUCUCGCGCGUCCGUUUCCCAUAUACCCUUUGCGUGUAAAACAGAGAAGGCAAAAAGCCUGCUGUCAAAAUAAAUGUCACACUAAACUGUCAAAUAUACAGUGACGACUGAAAGCUUGUACAAAGAAAAUAAAAGUCCAAAUAAAGAGCAGACAUUGAUCUGACACUGUUUAGGGGUUCAUUUACAAUAUGCAUUGUGACAGCAUGGUUACUAAACAAACACAGUGGACACAGAGGCCAGUGGAAUAUAACAGGAUGACAGUUCUUUUGAGCCUGAAAUUAAGAAAAUUGUUGCAAAUUGUAAGAGGAGAUUCCCCCCCCCCUGUUUUGUGA
rnacentral:lncRNA from 1 species